AAAGCCCACAUAAAAUGAGAAUGUUCAUCCAGAAAAAAGAACAUAAUAUCAACAACCAAAGAAUAAAGAGUUGGGGAGGUCCAAACAUCAAAACAAAUGAUGGAAAUAAUUCAUAAACAUGAAUUUAAUACUCGAGAAAACAUAGCCUAUUGUUUUUCCCUAUUAAACAAGAGUCAUAAUGAAAGAAAUGACUUUAGACAUAAGUUUAUUUUCAAAAAAAAAAA
rnacentral:lncRNA from 1 species